GUUACUAGUGAAGCAUUCCAUAUUUUUGGUACAGAAAAGAUUAGCAGGGCCCCUGCGCAAGAAUGACACACAAAUCCAGCUAAUUUAAUUUGUUUAA
rnacentral:snRNA from 1 species